rnacentral:tRNA from 1 species
AUGGAGGCCCGCUGGGUAGAGGUGUUUAGCUGUUAACUAAAAUUUUGCAGGAUCGAGGCCUGCCCAUUCAG